rfam:Danio rerio chromosome 14, GRCz11 reference primary assembly.
UGCCACAGCCAUAUCACCCUGCAUCCCAAGCAGGCUAAGCAGGGCUGAGCCUGGUCAGUACUUGGAUGGAGACCACAUGGGUAAACUAGUUUGCUGUUGGAA